GUGAACGCUGGCGGUAGGCCUAACACAUGCCAGUCGAACGGCAGCACAGUAAGAGCUUGCUCUUACGGGUGGCGAGUGGCGGACGGGUGAGGAAUACAUCGGAAUCUACUUUUUCGUGGGGGAUAACGUAGGGAAACUUACGCUAAUACCGCAUACGACCUACGGGUGAAAGCAGGGGAUCUUCGGACCUUGCGCGAUUGAAUGAGCCGAUGUCGGAUUAGCUAGUUGGCGGGGUAAAGGCCCACCAAGGCGACGAUCCGUAGCUGGUCUGAGAGGAUGAUCAGCCACACUGGAACUGAGACACGGUCCAGACUCCUACGGGAGGCAGCAGUUGGGAAUAUUGGACAAUGGGCGCAAGCCUGAUCCAGCCAUACCGCGUGGGUGAAGAAGGCCUUCGGGUUGUAAAGCCCUUUUGUUGGGAAAGAAAAGCAGCAGGUUAAUACCCCGCUGUUCUGACGGUACCCAAAGAAUAAGCACCGGCUAACUUCGUG
rnacentral:rRNA from 1 species